GCUUGUCUCAAAGAUUAAGCCAUGCAUGUCUAAGUAUAAAUGCUAUACAAUGAAACUGCGAAUGGCUCAUUAAAACAGUUAUAGUUUAUUUGGUAAUACACUUACAUGGAUAACCGUGGUAAUUCUAGAGCUAAUACAUGCUGUUAAGCCUGACUUCUUGAAGGGCUGUAUUUAUUAGAUAACAGACCAACCCGGGCAACCGGUCCUUUGGUGAUUCAUGAUAACUUUGCGAAUCGCAUAGCUUUAAUGCUGGCGAUGGGUCAUUCAAAUUUCUGCCCUAUCAACUUUCGACGGUAGGAUAGAGGCCUACUGUGGUGAUAACGGGUAACGAAGAAUAAGGGUUCGAUUUCGGAGAGGGAGCCUGAGAAACGGCUACCACAUCCAAGGAAGGCAGCAGG
rnacentral:rRNA from 1 species